UGGCGAACGGGUGAGUAACACGUGGGUAAUCUGCCCUGCACUCUGGGAUAAGCCUGGGAAACUGGGUCUAAUACUGGAUAUGACCUUUCUCCUUAUGGGGUUUGGUGGAAAGUUUUUCGGUGUAGGAUGAGCCCGCGGCCUAUCAGCUUGUUGGUGGGGUGAUGGCCUACCAAGGCGACGACGGGUAGCCCGCCUGAGAGGGUGAUCGGCCACAUUGGGACUGAGAUACGGCCCAG
rnacentral:rRNA from 1 species